rnacentral:rRNA from 1 species
AACGUAGGAGUCUAGCGUUAUCCGAAUUUACUGGGCGUAAAGCGCGUGUAGGCGGUUCGGUAAGUUGGAUGUGAAAGCUCCUGGCUCAACUGGGAGAGGUCGUUCAAUACUGUCGGACUCGAGGAUGGUAGAGGGAAGUGGAAUUCCCGGUGUAGUGGUGAAAUGCGUAGAUAUCGGGAGGAACACCAGUGGCGAAAGCGGCAUCCUGGACCAUUCCUGACGCUCAGACGAGAAAGCUAGGGGAGCGAACGGG